UUCAAGUUAUGUAAUUAUCAAAUGCGCGUUUGCCCAGACAAACCUUAUUGGGCCAAAUUGCGUUUGCAAAGCGUAACGUGGGGCGACCUAUGCUGCGUUUCAGGGAUUGCGCUAAACGUGACAUGGUUGCAUUUAACAUUGAUCGCAACUCUU